GGAGUCUGGACCGUGUCUCAGUUCCAGUGUGGCCGUUCACCCUCUUAGGUCGGCUACGCAUCCUCGCCUUGGUGGGCUGUUAUCUCACCAACUAGCUAAUGCGCCGCAGGUCCAUCUUUCAGCGAGGCUUUAAGGGCCCCUUUUAGGAAUCGGAGAUGCCUCCGUUUCAAUUAUUCGGUAUUAGCCAAGGUUUCCCUCGGGUAUCCCAAACUGUAAGGCAGGUUACCUACGUGUUACUCACCCGUUCGCCACUCGAUAUUGCUAUCUCGUUCGACUUGCAUGUAUUAGGCACGCCGCCAGCGUUCAUC
rnacentral:rRNA from 1 species